GACGAAUCGGAAAAUAAUAGUAAUGGAGAUAAUAAGGCGGUAACGAAUGAGGAAGAAAAAAACAGUAAAGUAGAAAGCGAGGCCGAAGUGGAAGAACCGGAAAACAAUAGUGUUGGAGAUGACAAGGCGGUGGCGGAUAAAACAGAAAACGACAGUAAAGCGACGACAGAAAAUGAAGCACAAGUGGAUGAACCGGAUAAUAACAGUGUAGCAGAAAACAAUGCUGAAGCGGCUGAAAGUUAUCAAGAACAAGAUCGGAAUACGGAGAACGACUUAAAUAAAGAGCAACAUACUAAGAAGAAAACUUACGUACCACCCAAGCCGAGAAAGAGUCCCGAUCAUUAUAUUGACGAUGCGUAAUUUUUAGUACUAAUUAAAUUAAACAUUAUUUUCUAUUUUGUACCUUAAUUUUAAAGCAAAGAGCGAAAUUUUCCUUAGUUAAUAUUUCAUUUAAACU